rnacentral:rRNA from 1 species
GACGAACGCUGGCGGCGUGCUUAACACAUGCAAGUCGAACGAGGUCUUCGGACCUAGUGGCGAACGGGUGAGUAACACGUGAGGAACGUGCCCCAGAGACCGGGAUAAGCCGAGGAAACUUGGUCUAAUACCGGAUGUCCCCAUCGGAUCGCGUGGUCUGAUGAGGAAAUGGAUUCCGCUCUGGGAGCGCCUCGCGGCCUAUCAGCUAGUUGGUGAGGUAACGGCCCACCAAGGCUUCGACGGGUAGCUGGUCUGAGAGGAUGAUCAGCCACACUGGGACUGAGACACGGCCCAGACUCCUACGGGAGGCAGCAGUGGGGAAUCUUGCGCAAUGGGCGAAAGCCUGACGCAGCAACGCCGCGUGCGGGACGACGGCCCUCGGGUUGUAAACCGCUUUCAGCAGGAACGAUGAUGACGGUACCUGCAGAAGAAGCUCCGGCCAACUACGUGCCAGCCGCCGCGGUAAUU